GGCGGAUGUAGCCAAGUGGAUCAAGGCAGUGGAUUUGAAUC
rnacentral:tRNA from 25 species